AAUAAGUUUCCUACAGGUUUCUGAAAACAAAGUUUUUCUUUUUGUAGGAGGAGGAAAAGAAAGGGUUUUGAAGAUUCACUUUCAAUGGCUCUUUGUGAAACAAAGGCUGAUAAGAGUUGUCAGGAUAUGUUCAAAGAUGUCUCAACUCAUGAGUUGCAAUUAGCUGUGUGACAGAGAACCAGUCGUGUCACAACUGUGUCCUGGAGAACCCUGAAGAAGAUUUGACAAUUUAAACAAGUCAUUCAUUUAGUUAGAAAAGCAAAUUCCAACUCUUGUCAAAGCAGAAUACCUACAACUCUGGUCUGAAUAAAAUGAACAGCAAGUCAGUAGUAUGUUAGAGGUCUCCCUCACCUGCUGCAAUAGCACUACAGUAAGUGGGGUUCAUUAAACUACAGAAUGAGUCACUGCUGUUUAUUAACAAAAUAAAAAUACAGAAAAAAAUGAAGGUGGAAGGCACUACAUCUCAC